rnacentral:misc_RNA from 2 species
AAAUUCUCAAAGUAAAUUCUUUUGUUAAUUCAAUUGGUUUACUUUGGAUUUGGAGGCUUUGCAGAGUUUACAAUCUCUGCUCCUCUUGAAUGUAUUUAGCUGGAUCUCAGUGUAUACUUACUUGGUUCCACUCGGUGUGAUAAGUAUCACUCGCUGAGGACACACCUGUAAAAAGGUGGCCAAGGUAUACACAGAUUGAGCCGCUUCUAAUAGUAUAUAUAUUUCAAG